rnacentral:rRNA from 1 species
AACGAACGCUGGCGGCAUGCCUAACACAUGCAAGUCGAACGAUGCCUUCGGGCAUAGUGGCGCACGGGUGCGUAACGCGUGGGAAUCUGCCUUUCGGUUCGGAAUAACUCAGGGAAACUUGAGCUAAUACCGGAUAACGUCGCAAGACCAAAGAUUUAUCACCGAAAGAUGAGCCCGCGUAGGAUUAGCUAGUUGGUGAGGUAAAGGCUCACCAAGGCGACGAUCCUUAGCUGGUCUGAGAGGAUGAUCAGCCACACUGGGACUGAGACACGGCCCAGACUCCUACGGGAGGCAGCAGUGGGGAAUAUUGGAUAAUGGACGAAAGCCUGAUCCAGCAAUGCCGCGUGAGUGAUGAAGGCCUUAGGGUUGUAAAGCUCUUUUACCCGGGAAGAUAAUGACGGUACCGGGAGAAUAAGCCCCGGCUAACUCCGUG